CCCACGUCCUCCUUCACACCAGGAGAUAACCCUCAGUGUCGUUGUCGAUUAUGGGGGUUAUUGAUGACGCGUUGGUUUGUUUUCUUGGUGGCCGUCAUCCUGGGGCAUCGUCUCUUUUGUCUUCAAGUUCCGGUGGCUUCAAGCGGCCAACUUUCACAGGUGAUCGCCAGCUUAGUUACAUCGCUACGUUUUUUUCUUCCAUCAGCCUUGGGAAGAUGAGGAUGCUGGAUGUACCAGAGAUGAAUAACAUCAACUUUUAAACCU